GACGAACGCUGGCGGCGUGCUUAACACAUGCAAGUCGAACGGAAAGGCCUUGUUCUCAGGCUACCCGAGUGGCCAACGGGCGAGUAACUCGCGGGUGAUCUGCCUUGCACUUCGGGGUAGGCCACGUAAACUAGGUCUUGCACCUACCAGAUGCCAUCUUUAGAGUGAUGGUUGGAAAGUUUUUUCGGUGUAGGAUGAGCUCGCGGCCUAUCAGCUUGUUGGUGGGGUAAUGGCCUACCAAGGCGGCGACGGGUAGCCGGCCUGAGAGGGUGGACGGCCACAUUGGGACUGAGAUACGGCCCAGACGCCUACGGGAGGCAGCAGUGGGGAAUAUUGCACAAUGGGCGCAAGCCUGAUGCAGCGACGCCGCGUGGGGGAUGACGGCCUUCGGGUUGUAAACUCCGUUCGCUAGGGACGAAGCUUUUUGUGACGGUACCUAGAUAAGAAGCACCGGCUAACUACGUG
rnacentral:rRNA from 1 species